rnacentral:rRNA from 1 species
UGACCUACCUUUCAGUGAGGGAUACCGGCGAGAAAUGGCCGACAAGACCGCAUACGUUGCUCUCUUCAAUGAGAGCAAGAAAGUUUCUUCGUAAGGGGAGACGCUGAGAGAUGGGCCCGCGGCCGAUUAGCUAGCUGGUGGGGUAACGGCUUACCAGGGCGACGAUCGGUAGCUGGUCUGAGAGGACGAGCAGCCACACUGGGAUUGAGAACGGCCCAG